rnacentral:tRNA from 1 species
UGCCUUCUUAGCUCAGUUGGUAGAGCAGUGGACUCUUAAUCCAUGGGUCGUAGGUUCAAGUCCUACAGGGGGCAU